GGAAAAUGGCUUGCUACUGCUGGCCAUGACAAAAAGGCUGUAUUGUGGUAUGCGGAUGGGUUAAAGCCAAAAUCUACCUUUGAAGGGCAUACAUCUUUGAUUACAGACGUCUGUUUUCCUAGCAUGCCAUAUCUUGCAACGUCUUCAUUUGACAAAACUAUCAGGGUCUGGGAUGCUGGCAAUCCUCGAGACUCGUUACAUAUUUUUAGGGGACAUUCUACUUGUGCUGUGUCAGUAGACUUCCAUCCAAACAGAAAUGACCUUAUCUGCUCUUGUGAUGGGAAUGGUGAGAUACGGUACUGGAGUAUUACUGACAGCAACUGUGCAG
rnacentral:misc_RNA from 1 species